rnacentral:lncRNA from 1 species
UUGUUGUUGUUUAGUCAUUUCAGUCAUAUUUGGUGCUUCGUGUUUCAUUGGGGAUUUUAAUGGUUUGCCAUUUCCUUCUCCAGAUCAUUUUACAGAUGAGGAAACUGAGGCCCACAGGAUGAAGUGAUUUAGCUGUUGUCACACAGCUGGCAUCUGAGACCAGAUUUGAACUCAGGAAGGCUAGUCUUCCUGACUUCAGGCGGAACACUAUCCACUUCGCCACCUUGAUGCCCAGCCUGCUAAAGGUUUCUCCUCAGAAUGAAUUCUGGAGCAGCAUAACCCCACAAAAACAAUGAGGCAAAGUAAAUUUUUAUUCCAAAAACAACUCAGAAAGCCAUAAUAAGGGAUCUAGUAUCCUGAAAUGGAAGUGGAACAAAAAGAAGUAUCCCCACCUUGCCUAUAGGCCCUGGGAGCAG